rnacentral:rRNA from 1 species
AACAUCCAAAACGUUUAUUGAUCACAAGGGGUACAUAUCCAUAAUAGACAUAUAAAUAAUAUUAUACGCCAAGUAACAUCAAAAGUGUAAGUUUCUGAAGAUGGAAUGUCUAAUGUUUUUUCGCCUGGGGAAUUAAUCAGACUAUUGCAAGUGGAAUGAGCAGGGCGAGCUUUCGAUGAAUCAAUCUAUUAUCGGGCAAUCUUAUUGGGAAUAACAAGGGCUUCCCUGAAUACCCAAAGUUUCAUAUCUGAAGCAAGAUUUCAAGGAACUGCUAGAGUUUUAGCAAAAGUUUCCCUAUGAGGUCGCAUUGAUUGGUUGAAACUGCAAAGAAAACUUAGUCCUGGGGGGAUUAUACCUGUUGGUACUAGAUUCCAAAAAUUUGUGCACCAUUCCCCACAAGGCAAGAACCUUUAUUAACAAAAUAAAAUGUAUUCGCGUCGGAAAUAAGAGAUUUUUCUAUUUCUCCAUACAAAAUUAGUUUCUUCAGAUCCUGACAUAACAAAAAAAAUUAUGAGACAUAAGAACCCCCUUUUAAUAUUUAACCCUAUAUCAUUUAAGGCUACAUGA